UCUGCUCUUCUCUCUCUGACCUGUGCCCUUGGCCUCUUGGCCUCCAUAGCCGUGACCUUCGCCACCCAGGGCAAGGCAUUGCUGCCUGCCUGCACUUUUGGGAGCUCUGAACUACUGGCCCUCGCACCUGACUGUCCCUUCGACCCCACACGCAUUUAUAGUUCCAGCCUGUGCCUCUGGGGCAUUGCCCUAGUGCUCUGCGUGGCGGAGAACGUGUUUGCUGUGCGCUGUGCUCAGCUCACCCACCAGCUGCUGGAGCUGAGGCCCUGGUGGGGGAAAAGCAGCCACCACAUGGUGCCGGAGAGCCCAGAGCCGGUGGAGAGCUGUGACCUGCUGAGCUGCACCAGCUCGGAGCCUCUGACCCUCUGAGAGAUGAUGCCUUGCCCAUGGCCACUGGGACCCACGGCCACUAGGACCCUGCAAACAACUCUGCUCUGUGACCAGGCCAGGAUUCCUGGAGCUGGCCUGAGAGGGCUCAAUGGACUAUCGGGGACCCAAGUGGGGCUUUCAACCCCCUCCCGUACCACCCAGGCCACUGCACUGAAAUGAGACUUUAUUCUGAAAUUAUUAAAAAGAACAGAGAUGCU